rnacentral:rRNA from 1 species
AUUGAACGCUGGCGGCAGGCCUAACACAUGCAAGUCGAACGAGUGGCGGACGGGUGAGUAAUGUCUGGGAAACUGCCCGAUGGCGGGGGAUAACUACUGGAAACGGUAGCUAAUACCGCAUACCAUCGGAUGAGCCCAUAUGGGAUUAGCUAGUAGGUGGGGUAACGGCUUACCUAGGCGACGAUCCCUAGCUGGUCUGAGAGGAUGAACAGCCACACUGGAAAUGAGACAAGGGCCAGACGCCUACGGGAGGCAGCAGUGGGGAAGAUUGCACAAUGGGCGCAAGCCUGAGGCAGCCAGGCCGCGUGUAUGAAGAAGGCCUUCGGGUUGUAAAGGACUUUCAGCGAGGAGGCGUUACUCGCAGAAGAAGCACCGGCUAACUCCGUGCCAGCAGCCGCGGUAAUAC